CUUAUACUCCCUCCAUCCAAAAAUUCUUGUCUUAUAUUAGUCUAGAUACAGAUGUAUCUAAUACCAAAACAUGACUUGAUACAUCCGUAUUUAGACAAAUUUAAGACAAGAAUUUUGGGAUGGAGGGAGUAUUUC
rnacentral:pre_miRNA from 1 species